rnacentral:rRNA from 1 species
AUUGAACGCUGGCGGCAUGCCUAACACAUGCAAGUCGAACGGUAACAGGGGCUUCGGCCCGCUGACGAGUGGCGGACGGGUGAGUAACGCGUAGGAAUCUUCCCAGUAGCGGGGGAUAGCUCGGCGAAAGCCGGAUUAAUACCGCAUACGCCUACGGGGAAAGGACAGGGAGUCGCAAGACCUUGCACUAUUGGAUGAGCCUACGUCUGAUUAGCUAGUUGGUAGGGUAAAAGACCUACCAAGGCGACGAUCAGUAGCUGGUCUGAGAGGACGAUCAGCCACACUGGGACGUGAGACACGGCCCA